UUAGAGCUAGAUGUCCUUUAGUCCUUCCUCAUCUCGCUCUCUCUAUCGCUCUCCAUCUCUUGCUCCCCCUCGCUCUUCUCUCUGUCUCUCGCUGUAACCCCCCCUCUCUUUCUCUCUGCACCUGAAGACAUCCGUCCAUCUGCCAAAUCCUCCUUCAUCAAGUGCUGUCCAGAGGAGAUCUAUCCGCUGCUUUCAACACCGUGAACCAUCAGAUCCUCCUCUCAGGGCUGGGUGUCUCAGGCUCUACACACUCUUAGAUUGCGUCCUGCCUGGCAGGUCCCUCCUACCAGGUGAUGUGGAGAGGAUCUGAUGCACCACAUGCUCUUACUACUGGUGUCCUCCAGGGCUCGGUUCUAGGCCCUCUUCUGUUCUCUAUACACAGUCACUCGGCACGUCAUAUCCUCACAUGGUCUCUUCAUAUCAUUGCUAUGCUGAUGACACUGAACUACUUUUCUCCUUACCCCUUUAUGACACCCAGGUGGCGACACCUCGACAAGAUGGAGCUGCUCUUCCCCUUGGGGGAGACCUGCCCACUCCACGGUGUCCCCCUCCCAGAGUGAAAAGAACCUUGACGUGAUCCUGGUCAACAUUCUGUCAUUUUCUCCAAACAUCAAAACAGGGACUUGGUCCUGUAGGUUCAUACGCUACAAUGUCUGUGAACAGUCAACUUUAUACAUAUAAAGACAAAGUGGAGUCGCAAUUAGGGCUGCAGAAUUCCCUGGUUUUCCUGAAAUACAUUCCCAGAAUAAGAAGGGAAUAAGCAGGAACAUCAAUCUUUUGCUUCCAGACAAACUAAACACCUUCUUUUCCGCUUUGAGGAUAAUACAGUGCCACCAAAGACUGUAGGCUCUCCUUCUCCGUGGCCGACGUGAGUAAAAUAUAUAAACGUCUUUACCCUCGCAAGGCUGCCGGUCCAGAAGGCAUCCCUAGCCGCAUCCUCAGAGCAUGCGCAGAACAGCUGGCUGGUGUGUUUACAGACUCGGGGCUCCCGAGUGGUGCAGCAGCCUAAAGCACUGUAUCUCAGUGCAAGAGGCAUCAUUACAGUUCCUGGUUUGAAUCCAGGCUGUGUCACAUCGGCAGUGAUUGGGAGUACCAUAGGGCGGCACACAUUUGGCCCAUCGUCGUCCGGUUUUGGCCGGGGUAGGCCGUCAUUGUAAAUAAGAAUUUGUUUUUAACUGACUUGCCUAGUUAAAUAAAGGUUCAAUUUAAAAAAUAAAAAUAAAUAAACAUAUUCAAUCAAUCCCUAUCCCAGUCUGCUGUCCCCACAUGCUUCAAUAUGGCCACCAUUGUUCCUGUUCCCAAGAAAGCAAAGGUAACUGAACAAAAUGACUAUCGCCCCGUAGCACUCACUUCUGUCAUUAUGGAGUGCUUUGAGAGACUAGUCAAUGAUAUCACCUCCACCCUACAUGUCACCCUAGACCCACUUCAAUUUGCUUACCACCCCAAUAGGUCCACAGACGAUGCAAUCGCCAUCAAAUUGUACACUGCCCUAUCCCACCUGGACAAGAGGAAUACCUAUGUAAGAAUGCUGUUCAUUCACUACAGCUCAGCAUUCAACACUAUAGUACCCUCAAAACUCAUCAUAAAGCUUGAGACCCUGGGUCUCGACCCCGCCCUGUGCAACUGGGUCCUGGACUUCCUGAUGGACCACCCCCAGGUGGUGGUGAAGGUAGGAAACAACAUCUCCACUCUGCUGAUCCUCAACACUGGGGCCCCACAAGGGUGUGUUCUCAGCCCCCUCCUGUACUCUCUGUUCACCCAUGACUGCGUGGUCAUGCAUGACUCCAACUAAAUCAUCAAGUUUGCAGACAACACAACAGUGGUAGGCUUGAUUACCAACGAUAAACAAGACAGCCUACAGGGAGGAGGUGAGGAUUCUCGGAGUAUGGUGUCAGGAAAAUAACCUCUCACUCAAUGUCAGCAAAACAAAAGAGAUGACUCUGGACUUCAGGAAACAGCAAAGGGAGUACCCCCCUAUCAACAUCGAUGGGACAGCAGUGGAGAAGGUGGAAAGAGCAAGGCUCUCCAGAAGGUGGUGCGGUCUGCAAACGUAUCACCGGGAGCAAACUACCUGCCCUCCAGGACACCUACAGCACCCGAUGUCAAAGGAAGGCAAAAAAGAUAACCAAGGACAAUAACCACCCGAGCAACUGCCUGUUCACCCCGCUUCCAUCUAGAAGGCGAGGUCAGUGCAGGUGCAUCAAAGCUGGGACCGAGAGACUGAAAAACAGCUUCUAUCUCAAGACCAUCAGAUUGUUAAACAGCCAUCACUAACAUAGAGAGGCUGCUGCCUACUUACAGACUUGAUAUCAUUGGCUACUUUAAUAAAUGGAACACUAGUCACUUUAAUAAAGCCACUUUAAGAAUGUUUACAUUUCUCGCAUUACUCAUCUCAUAUGUAUAUACUGUAUACUGUAUCCUUCACUCUCUAUUCUAUCUAUUACAUCUUAGCCGCUCAUCCAUAUAUUUUUAUAUUUAUAUAUUCUUAUCCCAUUCCUUUACUAGAUUGUGUGUAUUAGGUUUUGUUGUGGAAUUGUUGAUAUUACCUGUUAGAUACUGCUGCACUGUCAGAUCUAGAAGCAUAAGCAUUUCACUACACUCACAAUAACAUCUGUGUAUGUGACCAAUAAGAUUGGAAUUGAUUUGAUAUGAAUACACACAGCAUGGACCCUACAGUACUAUGCCCUGAGGAAACUGUGGUGUCUGUCUGACUGUUGUGUCGGUUUGACUGCCGAUCUGUCUGCCUGUAGUGGUGUGGAGUUGGGUUGGGUUGUUGCCGAAACAUCUCCAUUGUGACUACUGAUAAUACACCAAAGUAAUACUUCAUUUGUAAGUGCUGGCCGUCUUUAUCUUACAAGCCAUGUUAAAAGACAUGGAGAUCUCUGGAAGAGCUGGGAAUGAUCCCUUGGGGGAUUGUUCACCACAAAUGAAAUCCUUGAAUCAUGAACACUCUGAAGGUGAACUGCUCCCUAUAUGAAAUUGUAUGCCUGAACUUCAUGUAUGUUUUGUCCUCCCACUGUGAAUAAUGAGUGGAUGUACAAUCUCACAUUUUUGAUUUAUCUUCGAACUGCAUGUUUUUCAGGUGGCAAUUUAGCUUUUUGUAAAUAUCUGAAAUUAAUGCAAAGACGGAGCAUUGUGAGAAGACAUUACGUAUCCUCUCCAGACGGUAUUAUGUCAAAGGGAAAUUGUAUUUUCCCAGCUAGAUAUAAUUAAUUACUUCUUGCAGAGAGUCAGAGGCGCACAUACGGCUCACACAUUGUGUGUACAAAUUGCAUUUUCUGUUUCAAUAAAGCUUGCCACACAAGAGAAAUAUA